rnacentral:rRNA from 1 species
GUGCCAGCCGCCGCGGUAAUACGGAGGAUCCAAGCGUUAUUCGGAGUGACUGGGCGUAAAGAGUUGCGUAGGCGGUUUGUUAAGCGAGAUGUGAAAUCUGAGGGCUCAACCCUCAAACUGCAUUUCGAACUGGCAAACUUGAGUAUGGGAGAGGAAGCUGGAAUUCCAGGUGUAGGAGUGAAAUCCGUAGAUAUCUGGAGGAACACCAAUGGCGAAGGCAGGCUUCUGGCCCAUUACUGACGCUGAGGCACGAAAGCGUGGGGAGCGAACGGGAUUAGAAUCCCCCGUAGUCC